rnacentral:rRNA from 1 species
CCCUUAGAUGUUCUGGGCCGCACGCGUGCUACACUGAGUAAUUCAAUGGGUAAGGGAACGCUAGAGCAUUACCUAAUCUUGAAAUUUGCUCGUGAUGGGGAUCGACGGUUGCAAUUUUCCGUCGUGAACGAGGAAUACCUUGUAGGCGCAUGUCAUCAUCAUGCGCCGAAUACGUCCCUGCCCUUUGUACACACCGCCCGUCGCUCCUACCGAUUGAGUGAUCCGGUGAGGCUCUGGGACCUGGACGAAAAGAGCGUUUCGCUUGUUCUGUUUGGGAAACUUGGUCGAACCUUAUCAUUUAGAGGAAGGAGAAGUCGUAACA